UGGGCAACCUGCCCUGUACUGGGGAAUAAUCAUUGGAAACGAAUGACUAAUACCGCCAUGUGAUCCUCGGAAGGCAUCUUCUGAGGAAGAAAGGAUUUAUUCGGUACAGGAUGGGCCCGCAUCUGAUUAGCUAGUUGGUGAGAUAACAGCCCACCAAGGCGACGAUCAGUAGCCGACCUGAGAGGGUGAUCGGCCACAUUGGGACUGAGACACGGCCCAA
rnacentral:rRNA from 1 species